CCCCUGAUGGUGUAGUUGGUUUAUCACGUCUGACUGUAAUGGAAAUACCUGUCAUCAGAAGGUCGCUGGCUCGAUUCCGGCUCGGGGGA